UCGUGGCCACAUGCCCUACAAAUCCGAAAAUGCCUAUGAAAUUGAUGGAUCCCGCUUCACUCCUCCUCCACCAUCCCAUCGACUAGGUCUGAAUCGAGCCACCUACAUCACGGAUGUGUGCGUCUACCUGUGCUUGGCGCUUCUUCCUCAUCUUCUGUCUGAGCAGAUGGCGACGGCGGCGGCCAUGUCCUCCUCGUUGCCUUCCCGAGGGCGUAGGGCCACCUCGACCCGAUGCAUCACCACGAGCCACUGUCCCGCCCCCGUCACCCCCUUGUCCGACACCCUCGAGCUGCUCUUUCUCCGAGUCCACGGCGGGGACGCCCGUACAUGUGCGUGUGCUCGUGUACGACUAGCACCUCCCGUAGGCGGGCUGCGUGGCACGCGCCGCCGGCGUGCCGACGGCCGCACUCUUCUCGCAGCCCUGUUCGGUGGAUAUCAUCUACAGGGAGGUCUACGCGGACAGCGUCGGCCCGCCGGUCAUGGAAGGGGGCGUGCAGCGGGGCCUGCUGAGCGAUGGAUGUGCCGUCGCUUGUGGCAGCGCCGGAGUCGUACCGGUUGUUCAUGGACGUAGUGGUGGGAGGGCCCGUUCGAAGGGUUGGUGGACGCCGCCGACGUCUUCAUCAACUCGUUCCAUGAACUCAAGAUCAAGAAAGUCGAUCUGUUGGAGGCACACAUGGGAACAAUGUGAUUGCUGAACUAAUUGAAGAUCAUGUAUGUUGGUCUUCCAUAUGUCAUAUGAAAUUUCAGAAGCCAAUUGUUUUCCCUUCAGGCACCAACAGAGCUAUGAAUUGUUUUGUAUUCAGAUGACAUAAGGAGUCCUGAAUCUCGUAUAUUUUGUUUAUCAAGAGAUGAAAAUUGGUGCUCUUAUGACCUCUGCUGGAAUCAACAUUGGUCUCUAUACUUUUUGUAUCAUUCUAUUCCAAAUGUUAAGGUCUAUUUUGAGUAAGGUGUCACCUUUUUGUUUUUUUUUCUGAUGACUCUUCAUUACAUUUUUCAUACGGUUGGCAGAGUGCUCACAAGUCCUUUGCUGUAGGGUUUAUGGCUAAGAUACGAAUGGUGUGAAAAUGGUUUAUAUGAAGCACUGAUUAAUUUAGUAAUACGGAUAAUGGAAUAUUUCAUGGGAAGCAAGAGAUGUGAGGAGGUGCAUCUGUAGUCAUCGUUUGCAAGAGAUAAGCCAAUGUUUUUGGGUCUGAAGCAACGCACAGACAUUUAGUUCUCACCAUACGAUUAUUAUCAGGGAAACACCUUAAAUAGGCGAUCUGGUCUGGGAAAUCCGUGGCUUUGCCCUUGUCGAUCUGGUCUGGUCUGGUCUUGUAUAUAUGGAUGAAUGAAUGUGCAACAAGCAUAUUUGCAUUAGUAACUCAUCUCGGUGAUCUAUCUACUAUCUAGAAUAGUUGUUUUUUUAAUGUCGAACCCAACCAUGAAUGUUGAUUAAGCUUGUUGACUUUAUUCUACAGGAAGAUUUAGCUCCUCUUAAUUUGAUUAUUCAAGAUAAUUUUCACCGUGCUUCCCCUGGUUGUGAACCUUGAUAACAUGCUUCACUUGGGGUAACCGUGUUAUAUGAUUUACUUAUUAUUGAAGGGGUUUAUAUGGAUGGGAAUCAGAUGAGUUGUAUGUGUAGGAUAAUAGAUCAGCAGCAAUCAGGCAGCACAGUCAGUGAUGCAGGAUGAUCCAUUUUUUUCUAAUUUAUAAACUUUGGAUUAAUUGUGUAUUCUGCUAUUUUAUAAAAAAAUGUGAGAAGUGGGAGAGAAUCUACACCUGUGCUAAUGUAAAAUUUACUUAUGUAGCUGCAGUUUUUUUUAAAUCCUACUGUUUAUCCUUUUUGGUUGAAAAUUGUUUACUAAUUAUGACAUUGUUUUUAUUUCUUCCAGAUUUGGUAUACUAUAUAUUCUUGGAUUGAGGGAACUGUCUAACAAGGUGAAAGAGCUAAUAGUUGCAGUUUACACCAAUCCAAUUUGUUUUAUUUUAGUGUUGGACAUGGUCCAUGAUGUUUGGGACACUUGCAUUGUUGCUGCUUGAUCCUAUCAAGAGGUUCGAUCCUAUAAUGAAUAAUGCAGCCAGUUUGGAUGUUUGGAUGCAAAGCUUUUGAACUGGGUGUUUUUUUUGACAGAAAGACUGUAAGGGAACCCCCUACAGUAUAAUUGGUGUAACAAACCUAAAUUGCAAGUACCGUGCCUUGAACCUGGGUGGGUGGGAAGGCAUCAGCCCCUUCCCACCACUAGGCUAUGCCUUAGUCUGCCUUUUGAAUUGGAUGUUGUAUAAGUAUUUCAGAAAAAUAUGACUUGCAUGGAUUGGAGAAAAAAAUUUGUUUGUAUUUGUUGUCUUAUAGGCUAGCUAGCUAGCAACUAGCUUUUUGCUAUCUACUAUUUGCCCAUAGCAACCAACCCACCAUACUGAGUUUUACUCCAGUUAGCUUUAAAUUUGUUAUUUCUACUGAAUUUUACAUACUAAUCCUACGUGCACCUGAAUAUUUUUGCAGAGAUGUAUUAUGAUAACUAUAUCAAAACUCAAUAGUUUAUAACUUGUUCUUUCAAACAUAACUUGAAAAUCUGAAUCUACAGGAGCAAGCCUUAGAUGAGUGUAUAUGUUAGUUUGGUAGCUAUUGGAAACAACAAUCUUCCAAAUUCUGGGAUGCUCUACAAAACAUACGAUCUGCUUUGUUGCUAAACCAAACAAAAGCAUGAUAUAAUUUGGAAUCUUGUUUUUCUUGGCGUCACACAUGCGGAAGAAGAUGAGAAUCGUAAAAAAUGAUCGUAUUUCUUGGGUUAGCUCUAAGAUGCUCUUCGGCUGUCUUUUCUCAAAAAGAAAAGUUUAAUGAUGUAUAAAAAUCUGACUUUCGUGUAUCUAUUUGAUGAUCUAUCCGACAGAAGACCCCGCCUUGUUCUUAAUUACUACUACCCAAAUUGUCGAUCUAUGUUUCUUAUCAUAAUUUUGUUUGUUUCUUACUGUGAGGAAGAGUGUCACAUAGCUAGGGCAUUUGUUGUGUCAAUGGUUGUUACAUAUAAUCUGAGGAUUACCACAUGACAACUUUGUGAUGGCAUGGUGUUAUUUUGUUUUCUGGAUAGGCAAGAAGAGUCCAACUGGCAAAGCAUGAUAUGAGGAUGUUUCUACAAUACUCUUCCUCUACUAUGAGUUUAUAAUACAUAUGAAAUAAAUGUAUACAUUUUUCUAUUCUAGCACCUACAUUUUUAUUUAUUGAUGCUCUUUUGAUUAUUUUUGGAUGUUCUAUCCUCUUUGCAGUCAUGAAACUGUAAGACAUAUGCAUUUUAAGCCGUAUUUGCAUUGCUUUUCUUUCAUUCAAUGG